GAUCAUGGCUCAGGAUGAACGCUAGCUACAGGCUUAACACGUGCAAGUCGAGGGGCAGCAUGGUCUUAGCUUGCUAAGGCCGAUGGGCGACCGGCGCACGGGUGAGUAACACGUAUCCAACCUGCCGUCUACUCUUGGACAGCCUUCUGAAAGGAAGAUUAAUACAAGAUGGCAUCAUGAGUUCACAUGUUCACAUGAUUAAAGGUAUUCCGGGUAGACGAUGGGGA
rnacentral:rRNA from 1 species